rnacentral:siRNA from 1 species
UGCUCUUGGGAUGAUAACGU